rnacentral:rRNA from 1 species
CAGCCGCCGCGGGAAAACGAAGGGUGCAAGCGUUACUCGGAAUUACUGGGCGUAAAGCGUGCGUAGGUGGUGGUUUAAGUCCGUUGUGGAAGCCCUGGGCUCAACCUGGGAAUUGCAGUGGAUACUGGGUCACUAGAGUGUGGUAGAGGAUAGUGGAAUUUCCGGUGUAGCAGUGAAAUGCGUAGAGAUCGGAAGGAACAUCUGUGGCGAAGGCGACUAUCUGGGCCAACACUGACACUGAGGCACGAAAGCGUGGGGAGCAAACAGGAUUAGAUACCCCUGUAGUCCCUGUCUCUUAUAC